AUGGAGGACCUGACGCAGCGGCUGCCUCAUGACGUGCUCGCCGACGUCCUGCGCCACCUCCAGACGACGGCGCCAUGCAGCCUCGCAGCAUGCCGCUGCGUCUGCAAGGCGUGGUGUGCCGUCGUUGACGCCCAUCGGCUGCUCACGGACCUCCUGCCGCACUCGCUGACCAGCAUAUUUCUUCACUUUGAUGACUUGUUUGGCAGGAUGCUCCCAAAAGCCCUCUCACUCGCCAUGUCGUCAACGACCAUCGCCCCCUUCGACUACCUAGAUACCCACAACGCUGAGUGCGUCAAGAUCGUGCAGCACUGCAAUGGCCUCCUCCUACUCGCCGAUGUCGAAUGGGAAGAAGAUUGGUGGGUGCUUAACCCAGCCACGCGCCAGUGGGCGCACUUGACUACUUCUCCGCCCAUGCGCACGCCGGGCAUGGAGGACAGCUAUUUCGACCAAGAAAAUGGCAUGGACUAUCAUGAUAAGUACCUCGUGUUUGAUCCUACAGUCUCGCCGCACUAUGAGGUCUUUUUAGUCAAGCGUAUUCCCUCCCGGCCUGAUACCUUGCGUUUUGUUGAAUGCCACGUAAAACAAAGAGAAUGGCCGCCAUCGACAUAUGUCUUGCUCGUCUUCUCAUCAAGGACAAAACAGUGGGAUGAGAGGCCUUUUGUUCGCGAAGGGAAGGCAGCAGGGACCAUCGGGGAUUUGUUGGAGGAUGACCCACCUGAUCACUGCUAUGCAACAUACUGGCGGGAGGCACUUUACUUUCACCAGCAUGAUUUCAUUCUGAGGUAUGUAGUUACUCACAUCUUAGACAACGCAUCCUUGGUUAUGUUUCGAUGUAGCGAUUUCUUAACUCUAACUUCGACAGUGGUUUAUCUUUUGUAG
rnacentral:rRNA from 1 species